rnacentral:rRNA from 1 species
UUUAUUGGAGAGUUUGAUCCUGGCUCAGGACGAACGCUGGCGGCGUGCCUAAUACAUGCAAGUCGAGCGAAUCUGAGGGAGCUUGCUCCUGACGAUUAGCGGCGGACGGGUGAGUAACACGUGGGUAACCUGCCUGUAAGAUUGGGAUAACUCCGGGAAACCGGAGCUAAUACCGGAUAACAUUUCGAACCGCAUGGUUCAAAGUUGAAAGGUGGCUUUUGCUACCACUUACAGAUGGACCCGCGGCGCAUUAGCUAGUUGGUGAGGUAACGGCUCACCAAGGCGACGAUGCGUAGCCGACCUGAGAGGGUGAUCGGCCACACUGGGACUGAGACACGGCCCAGACUCCUACGGGAGGCAGCAGUAGGGAAUCUUCCGCAAUGGACGAAAGUCUGACGGAGCAACGCCGCGUGAGCGAAGAAGGCCUUCGGGUCGUAAAGCUCUGUUGUUAGGGAAGAACAAGUACCGUUCGAAUAGGGCGGUACCUUGACGGUACCUAACCAGAAAGCCACGGCUAACUACGUGCCAGCAGCCGCGGUAAUACGUAGGUGGCAAGCGUUGUCCGGAAUUAUUGGGCGUAAAGCGCGCGCAGGCGGUUUCUUAAGUCUGAUGUGAAAGCCCGCGG